AGUGAAAUUGCUGGAUUAUAUGGUAAGAAUAUGUUUAGUUUUGUAAGAAAUUGCCAAACUAUCUUCCAAAGUGGCUGUACCAUUUUACAUUCUCACCAGCGAU
rnacentral:pre_miRNA from 1 species